GGGAAUAUUGGACAAUGGGCGAAAGCCUGAUCCAGCCAUGCCGCGUGUGUGAAGAAGGUCUUCGGAUUGUAAAGCACUUUAAGUUGGGAGGAAGGGCAGUAAGUUAAUACCUUGCUGUUUUGACGUUACCGACAGAAUAAGCACCGGCUAACUCUGUGCUAG
rnacentral:rRNA from 1 species